AACGAAGCAAGUAAGACGUGUUUGUUGGUUGGUGGUUAACACUUUAACGCUGGUUUUGUUUUUUGGGAACACUCUGCUGUACGCCAAAACGCCAACCCAACAACGCAACACCAAACGACAAUUCAAAGUGCAGACGUACGCUCGCGUGGGUGUGUGUGUGUGUUCAUAUGUGCGUGUGCUUCAGCAAAUAGACGCGAACUUGCAAAAGUUGAUUAGUGCCAAAACAACAAUAACAUUAAGAAAAGUAAUAAGUAACACAAAACCAAUUGAAGACGUGCUAAAUACUUCCAGUUAAUUGAACGUAAUAACAAAAACCGUUAAAAUAUAUUGUUUAAAAAAUUUUUCGAAUUUCGUAAUGUUCGAAAAAAUUGUAAACAAAACGAUUUGUAAGUAACUAAAACUUUUAAGUGCGAAAUUUGCCUGUUGCAGCAAAUUUAAAAAUAUAAAAAGCGAAAAAUAUCAACAAAGUGCUGUGAAAAUUUAAUAAUAACUUUUUGAGUUCAAGUUUGAGAGCAAAAGGAAUUUCACAAUUGCACGCAAUAUUUAGAAACAAUUUGCCAUAAAGCGUGAGAACAGUGAAAAUCAUUUCGAUUGCAGACAAGUAUUAAAAAAGUGCUGAAUUAUACAAAAUAUCAAAACAAAAAUCAAAAAUCAAAAAGUGCUAAGAAAAAUUAUAACAAAUCAUAAAACAUUGAAAAUACAACACAACAAAUACUAAAUUGCAAAUACAUAUAACUAACUGUAAGAGACAACUCUGUUGCGCGAAUAAUCCUGUGCGAGCGCGAUCCCCACACUACCGCCCACAUUGCUGCGCAGGUACGCCGAACAGCAGCAGCAGCAGGUGUGUGUGCGCACUUAUGCAAAUGCAACAGUAACAACAAAGCGUGAAGAGAGAAAAGAAGCAAUAAUAGCAAAGAAACUCACAACCACAGAAAUAAGAAAACACUCAGCCGCAAAGCGUGCAGCAAAAAUCAGGGAAAUAAAAAACAAAACAAAAAAAAAAAAUCGAAAUUAAAUCACAAAAACUGAAACGAUGGCUGUUGUCUUUUAUAUGCCCGAGGGCGGCGGCGAUGACUCUGCAUCGUCAUCGAGUGGCGGUCACGGCAGUGCGGGCAGCGGCAGCGCUGCUUCGUCGACAUCACAAUCGCCCAACACAACCACAUCGGCUACACAAACGCCCAUGCAGAGUCCGCUACCGCCGCAUUUUAUGAUGGCCUUCUACCAAUAUAUGAAUGCUACCGCCUUCCAGUAUCCCCCACCAGCCAGUCCAUGCUGUCAAGUGCACAGUCCCUCACCAUACACAGGGAGUGGCAGCGGUGGCGGCGGUGGUGGUGGUGCCGGUGUCGGCAAUGGCGAAGUUUUUUUCCCACUCAGUCUUAGUACACCACGUACACCACGUACCAGCGUCAGUUAUGCGGCUGGCGAAGAGAAUACCUUCUUUCGUCAUCACAACAUCAGUGGCGGUUGCAGCAACGCAUCACACCUACAACCACCGCAAUCGGCACCACCAAUGCCGUCGAGUAGUCACAAUGGUGCACAUAGUCAACCAGCGCCGCAACAACAAUACCAACAAUAUACAUAUCCAUAUUAUCAAUAUACACCACCGCCGACACCGCUCACCGCCAAUGCGAGCACCUGCACCGGCAAUGUAUUCGGGGCGACGGAAGCGACAACGCACCAACGCGGUUGUGUGGCAACAGCGUCGACAUCCACAUCGACGACAUCGUGCGGUAUGGGCGGACAUUCGCGUUUGCAUCGCAGCCUCUCAGAUGCGCAGAAGCGCUCUCGUCGUACGUCAACCACCAAUGAUGAUGAACGCGAGUAUCAUAGCGAACACGAGACCAGCUGGGAUGAGUUCGAUGACCGUUAUGAUAAUUUUACCGCCGGCCGUGAACGUUUGCAGGAAUUUAAUGGACGAAUACCGCCACGAAAGAAGAAAAAGGAUGUGCCAAAAUCAAAGUACGAGAAGAAGGUGAGAGAAAGACCAUUCAAGGGUUUUAUCUGGCCCACUGUCGUCACAGUCAUCGUUGUUGCAAUCGGUUGUGGCUUCCUUGUUACGCGAUGAGUGCAACAAAAGUGAAGUUCCAGCGGCAAUAGCCUCAGCAAUACUUACAAUUUAAAAAGCAAGCAGCAGUGAAGCAAUGCAGAAAAAAAGCAUAAUUAUUUACACUUAAAGAAAAAAUACAAAAAAAUAAUAAAUUUUGAGAAAAACUUUAAAAACAAAGCACAAAUGAAAAGUGUUAAAGUGUGCGGAAAGCAGAAUGCUUUUGCCGUUUUCAUAGCAAUAAAGGAGUACGAGAGAGAAAUAUAUAAAGGUGAAGAAAUUUUCGCCAGAAAUGUGGAACGUGAAACUGUUUAAAGAAGCGCAAGUCGCGCGUGGAACGAAGCGAAGUUACGCCGGCCAGUUUUAAAACGACUCCUUGAGGAGUGGCUUGAGAGAGAAAUCUUUUCGAGAGUGAAAUUUCUAGAAUUUGCGAAUCGACUAGCGAAAAAGCGCAUCAAACCGCUACAAUUAGAGUGAAAGAGAAAGAGGUGAAAGAAGGAAAGAUAUGGCGUCAAAGAAAGAGAGAGAGAGAGAGAUAUAUAAGCGAGCAAAGCGCACAGUGUGCGACAACGAAACCGAAUUUUUAAUCAACGAAGCUUUUCUUACACACCACAAACUCCAAACGAAAUCAAAGUCGAAAACGACGUAAUUAAAGCGAACAACUAAUAUUUUUUUACACCAGCAAAGCAUAUUUUUGUACAAUGUACUCAUUUAUAGUGGAUAUACAUAUGUACGCAGACGAGUAUUUGACUAACAAAUCUCUGCCGUAUUUGGACGUGGAAAUUUCGCAUCUAGUAUACUUGAUAUGAAUUUGAACUGCCGUUAAGUAUAAGACUGUUCGAUAUUGAAAGGCAGCAUUUGUACAAAACACAAUUUAAAAAUAAAGAAACUAAGACAACAAGGCAACAUUUUUAUAAAAAAUUAUAUUCAAUAACUAAAUAUAUUCUACAAUUUUGAUAAAAAAUCAGACUAACAGUAAAUUAAUUAAAAAAAAGAACUCAAUGCUAAACUUUUGUUUCAUACUAACAACUGAAAAAUGGCUAAUUUGGCGUACGGAACACAGUUUUUUCCAUACAGAUGCGCAUAUUUUUGAUAAAGAAUUUUAAGGACUUUUACAAAAUUACAAAAUAUCUUUUUUAUAUAAAAACAAACUGAAGAAAAACAGCAAAUUACAAAACAAUAAACUAAUAUUGAAAUAAAAAUUCGGGUUUCCGAAAGCGUACAAGUUUUUUCGAAACAAGAACUUUGGCGCAAUAUUUUUGAUAAAUUUUAUAAAUAUUUUUGUAACCGCAUAUAAAUAUGUAUGUAGGUAUGAGAGUAACUGAAAUACCAACAAUUUUUGCUAAGAGGUUUACAAAUCAAAAAA
rnacentral:misc_RNA from 1 species